UACGUAGGGUCCGAGCGUUAAUCGGAAUUACUGGGCGUAAAGCGUGCGCAGGCGGUUUUGUAAGCCAGAUGUGAAAGCCCCGGGCUUAACCUGGGAAUGGCAUUUGGGACUGCAAGGCUGGAGUACGGCAGAGGGAGGUGGAAUUCCAGGUGUAGCAGUGAAAUGCGUAGAUAUCUGGAGGAACACCGAUGGCGAAGGCAGCCUCCUGGGCUAGUACUGACGCUCAUGCACGAAAGCGUGGGGAGCAAACAGGA
rnacentral:rRNA from 1 species